CCUACGGGAGGCAGCAGUGGGGAAUAUUGCGCAAUGGGGGCAACCCUGACGCAGCAAUACCGCGUGAGUGAAGAAGGUUUUCGGAUCGUAAAGCUCUGUUAUUGGGGAAGAAAACAUGACGGUACCCAAUGAGGAAGUCCCGGCUAACUACGUGCCAGCAGCCGCGGUAAUACGUAGGGGACAAGCGUUGUCCGGAAUGACUGGGCGUAAAGGGCGCGUAGGCGGUCUAUUAAGUCUGAUGUGAAAGGUACCGGCUCAACCGGUGAAGUGCAUUGGAAACUGGUAGACUUGAGUAUUGGAGAGGCAAGUGGAAUUCCUAGUGUAGCGGUGAAAUGCGUAGAUAUUAGGAGGAACACCAGUGGCGAAGGCGGCUUGCUGGACAAAUACUGACGCUGAGGUGCGAAAGCGUGGGGAGCGAACAGGA
rnacentral:rRNA from 1 species